rnacentral:lncRNA from 10 species
GUUUGGUAUUUGCAGUAACACCAAUCUGAAGAAUUAGCAACAUUCUUCAAAAAUAUGUGAAACAACCAUUUCAACCAGCUUGGACAAAAGAGAGAAGCCAAGAUGGGGCUGAGAAACCAAUGCAGGCAGGCCCAGGGACCCAGGAGUCAGGGACCAGGUGCUACCAGAUGCUUGCUCCGACUCGUGUUGCUGCUGUCUUCUCUGUGCCUCAACUCUGUCCUCUGUCACUGCAGGCAGCUUCCUCCCAAGGUGGAAGGUGAUAUAUCCCACCUCAUGAAAUCAGGCUUCACCACAAGAUUGCUUUGACCAAGGGGACGUGAGUAGAAGUUUGAAGAACCACAGACUGGUCCAUCACCUUGUUUCUUAUCCCUCUGACAUAAGCAAUGUCCCAGACUGGGGCUGUUCUGUUAGCCUGGCUUCCAGAAUGAAGAGAGCUGAUCUACAUGGCAUAUGUAAGAUAAAUAAACCUUUGUUAUUACAAACCACUGAAACUUGGGGCUUCUUUGUCACAGCAGAUGAAUUUAGCCUAACUAUCCAAUACAGGUGUCUUGAGAAGAAACAGCAACAGGAGAAGAAGAAGAAACAGCAACAGCAACAGGACGAAGAGUUGUUUUGGGGGAAAAAAGGAUGAUCCAGGGUGAAAUGUAAU